GGGUCGGGGACCGUGUCUGGUGGGUAGUUUGACUGGGGCGGUCUCCUCCUAAAGAGUAACGGAGGAGCACGAAGGUUGGCUAAGCAUGGUCGGACAUCAUGCGGUUAGUGCAAAGGCAUAAGCCAGCUUGACUGUGAGAGUGACGGCUCGAGCAGGUACGAAAGUAGGUCUUAGUGAUCCGGUGGUUCUGAAUGGAAGGGCCAUCGCUCAACGGAU
rnacentral:rRNA from 1 species